rnacentral:rRNA from 1 species
GGCAGCAUUUUAGUUUGCUUGCAAACUGAAGAUGGCGACCGGCGCACGGGUGAGUAACACGUAUCCAACCUGCCGAUAACUCCGGAAUAGCCUUUCGAAAGAAAGAUUAAUACCGGAUAGCAUACGAAUAUCGCAUGAUAUUUUUAUUAAAGAAUUUCGGUUAUCGAUGGGGAUGCGUUCCAUUAGUUUGUUGGCGGGGUAACGGCCCACCAAGACUACGAUGGAUAGGGGUUCUGAGAGGAAGGUCCCCCACAUUGGAACUGAGACACGGUCCAAACUCCUACGGGAGGCAGCAGUGAGGAAUAUUGGUCAAUGGGCGAGAGCCUGAACCAGCCAAGUAGCGUGAAGGAUGAAGGCUCUAUGGGUCGUAAACUUCUUUUAUAUGGGAAUAAAGUUUUCCACGUGUGGAAUUUUGUAUGUACCAUAUGAAUAAGGAUCGGCUAACUCCGUGCCAGCAGCCGCGGUAAUACGGAGGAUCCGAGCGUUAUCCGGAUUUAUUGGGUUUAAAGGGAGCGUAGGUGGAUUGUUAAGUCAGUUGUGAAAGUUUGCGGCUCAACCGUAAAAUUGCAGUUGAUACUGGAUAUCUUGAGUGCAGUUGAGGCAGGCGGAAUUCGUGGUGUAGCGGUGAAAUGCUUAGAUAUCACGAAGAACUCCGAUUGCGAAGGCAGCCUGCUAAGCUGCAACUGACAUUG